rnacentral:rRNA from 1 species
GGAUUGGAUAAACGCUGAAAGCAUCUAAGCGUGAAACCAGCCUCAAGAUAAGAUAUCCCUUUGUUUAUCAAGUAAGACCCCUUGUAGACCACAAGGUUGAUAGGUCGGGUGUGUAAGUGCAGUAAUGCAUUAAGCUGACCGAUACUAAUAGGUCGAGGGCUUCAAUCAAAAA